CAUUGGAAAGGGAAAAUUACCGCGCUUCCGACAAAUAUGAAAUCUGUGGAGUAAAGAUUAAAUAACGUAGUCAUGUCAAGGGAGUGUCGAAUCAAAUAUUGGGCGAUUGUCGUUAAUGAGUAUCGCGAAAGUGCUUCUCGUUCGUCGUGUUUCGUCCAUCUCUAUAUCCGUUCUCGAGGACAGUAAUUUGUUGGAGUCGUGAAGCCGGUUGGCGCCAAUCGAGCAGCUUCGUAGCAUCGUUUGAUCAGAUGGAGUUUGUAACCGUGGCGGAAGGUGUCUGUGAUUUCGGUGAUUGCGGUUGCAGUACCGAAGGAUUCGGUUCGGG